GUAAGCAUCCAGUAUCUCUUCAUUGCAGUAGUAAACUUGUUACAACUCUUCGCGUGAUUAAGCAGACAGAAGUCGAUUAUCCAUACGCAUUUUGGUACAUUAAUUCGCAGAAUUGUACUACUUUAUCAUUUUUUAAAUUGUACAUAAUCGGAAGAUUACAUAAUAAAGACUAAAUACUACGUAUUACAAUCCAGCAUUGAAAACAUUGGAGUAUCUGAGAAAAUGUCACAUUGUGUGUUACGACGAUUCAGAAGUGUGAAAUUUGAAAGUCACAAUAAGAAAACGCGUCGAAUCCGUGACGCAACGCAUUUUCAUUAUACGAUCUUUCGAUCUCAUCACAGAAAGAUUAUUAUAAAAACCAUCAAAUUCCAAGCGAUGCAAUUAAAAUGAAGCUAAUCUUUCUACUGUUAUUAUUAGUCAGUUCCUCUUGUUGCGUACCUUGGCUCGAUUUAUGGUUUCCUCGACAAUCCUCAUACGACAAUCAAAAUACCGGAUACUAUCCAAACGGAGAAGAUGCUUCGUAUCAACAAUAUCGUCAAGGCAGAGGCGGUAAAGAACGUUGGAAGCAGAUCUGCAGGACGAUAAAUCCCGAUUCAUAUGCAUUUCCAGGACGCGUGCCUUAUCCUGCCGCACCUGUUUGUCCCUGGUAAAAGAAACUUUCGAUCAAACUUCCAAUCUGUCGUGCCAAACAAGAACUCGUAGCAUGCGUUAAAAAUAUGAUUUAUUAUAACAACCUAUAUCAUUUUGGACAAUAUACAUCCAGUGAUUAUGAGUAUUUCAGUCGGUAUGUUUAUAUGUGUAUUUGUUUAUGUGUGUGUGAUAAUGCAAAAUAGUAUACAUAAAUAUAUUGACGCAAUUACACAUAGUUACUUACUGUAACGUGUUCAGCAUGUAAAGUAUGAAGCGAGGAAACAAUUGUCUUGCAUCUUCGUACAGAAAUCUUAUUAUACUUCGUUUCUUAGUCUGCAUUCAUACUUGUGUUGAAUUAAAAAGAGAAAAAGCGCACUACAAACGUCAGAAUAAAAAAUUGAGCAAUAUGUGAAAAUACAA